rnacentral:rRNA from 1 species
GAUGAACGCUGGCGGCGUGCCUAAUACAUGCAAGUCGAGCGAACGGACGAGAAGCUUGCUUCUCUGAUGUUAGCGGCGGACGGGUGAGUAACACGUGGAUAACCUACCUAUAAGACUGGGAUAACUUCGGGAAACCGGAGCUAAUACCGGAUAAUAUUUUGAACCGCAUGGUUCAAAAGUGAAAGACGGUCUUGCUGUCACUUAUAGAUGGAUCCGCGCUGCAUUAGCUAGUUGGUAAGGUAACGGCUUACCAAGGCAACGUUGCAUAGCCGACCUGAGAGGGUGAUCGGCCACACUGGAACUGAGACACGGUCCAGACUCCUACGGGAGGCAGCAGUAGGGAAUCUUCCCCAAUGGGCGAAAGCCUGACGGAGCAACGCCGCGUGAGUGAUGAGGGUCUUCGGAUCGUAAAACUCUGUUAUUAGGGAAGAGCAUAUGUGUAAGUAACUGUGCACAUCUUGACGGUACCUAAUCAGAAAGCCACGGCUAACUACGUG